CAGGCCUAACACAUGCAAGUCGAACGAUGCUUUCGGGCAUAGUGGCGCACGGGUGCGUAACGCGUGGGAAUCUGCCCUGGGGUCUGGGAUAACCGUUGGAAACGACGGCUAAUACCGGAUGAUAUCGAGAGAUCAAAGAUUUAUCGCCCUGGGAUGAGCCCGCGUCCGAUUAGGUAGUUGGUGGGGUAAAGGCCUACCAAGCCGACGAUCGGUAGCUGGUCUGAGAGGAUGAUCAGCCACACUGGGACUGAGACACGGCCCAGACUCCUACGGGAGGCAGCAGUGGGGAAUAUUGGACAAUGGGCGAAAGCCUGAUCCAGCAAUGCCGCGUGAGUGAUGAAGGCCUUAGGGUUGUAAAGCUCUUUUACCCGGGAAGAUAAUGACUGUACCGGGAGAAUAAGCCCCGGCUAACUCCGUGCCAGCAGCCGCGGU
rnacentral:rRNA from 1 species